AUGGUAUGAUAUGGAUAUUAUCUCUCUAACUCCUUCCAUCUCAUCCAUGAUUCAUAAGGAGUUUUAUCUUCUCUUGGUCCAAAAGCUGUCAUCUGAUUUCUCAACUCU